rfam:Myotis davidii contig171458, whole genome shotgun sequence.
GUGCUUCCUUCGGCAGCACAUAUACUAAAAUUGGAAUGAUGCAGAGAAGAUUAGCAUGGCCCCUGCAUAAGGAUGACACGCAUAUUUGUGAAGCAUUAUAUGUAUAA